UAUUCUGAAGGAAGGAACGAUAUCCAA
rnacentral:piRNA from 1 species